UACAGAGGGUGCAAGCGUUAAUCGGAAUUACUGGGCGUAAAGGGCGCGUAGGUUGUCAUUUAAGUGAGAUGUGAAAUCCCCGGGCUUAACCUGGGAACUGCAUCUUAUACUGGGUAACUGGGGUGCAAUAGAGGGUAGUGGAAUUUCCGGUGUAGCGGUGAAAUGCGUAGAUAUCGGAAGGAACACCAGUGGCGAAGGCGGCUACCUGGAUUGACACUGACUCUGAGGCGCGAGAGCGUGGGGAGCAAACAGG
rnacentral:rRNA from 1 species